rfam:Bacteroidales bacterium 45-6 scnpilot_expt_750_p_scaffold_5050, whole genome shotgun sequence.
UGUCUCAUGGUGUAAUGGUAGCACGACAGUUUUUGGUACUGUCUGUCUAGGUUCGAAUCCUGGUGAGACAA